GAUGAACGCUAGCGGGAGGCUUAACACAUGCAAGUCGAGGGGUAUUGUAGCAAUACAUUAGACCGGCGCACGGGUGAGUAACGCGUAUGCAACCUGCCGUUAACCGGGGGAUAGCCCGUCGAAAGGCGGAUUAAUACCCCAUAAUAUUGGGAUUCUGCAUGGGAUUUCAAUUAAAGCUGAGGUGGUUAACGAUGGGCAUGCGUGACAUUAGCUAGUUGGUAGGGUAACGGCCUACAAGGCUACGAUGUCUAGGGGUUCUGAGAGGAAGGUCCCCCACACUGGUACUGAGACACGGACCAGACUCCUACGUGAGGCAGCAGUGAGGAAUAUUGGUCAAUGGGCGAGAGCCUGAACCAGCCAUCCCGCGUGCAGGAAGACGGCCCUAUGGGUUGUAAACUGCUUUUGCGCAUGAAGAACGUUACCGACGUGUCGGUAAGUGACGGUAAUGCGUGAAUAAGCAUCGGCUAACUCCGUGCCAGCCGCCGCAGUAA
rnacentral:rRNA from 1 species